GGAAAUUGUAAACUAUAUAUGCUGGGAUGUAAAUGGAGAUUAUUUGGCAUCCGUGAGUCAUGACCUGGUAAAACUAUGGUCGGUGGCUACAGGGGAGUGCAUUCAAGAACUCAGUUCUGGUGGGAACCAGUUUCACUCUUGUGUAUUUCAUCCAAGUUAUUCCACUCUUUUGGUGAUUGGAGGAAUCUCGGUAAUUCUUUGAGUUAUAUUUAUGGUUUCCAUUUCCAUUUAUGGAGGUAUAUUUAAGGUCAUAAUAAAAAAUAGUUAUGUUUUCUCAAUGAGUGGUAAGGUUCAAAUCAGCAUGGCUACCUCCCCAUAUUUUAGCCUGUAAAACUAGUAUUUAUUAUCUAGUUUAUGUAUAAAUUCACUGAUUGAUCAUAAAAGUUCUCUCUUUUUGAUACAUGCUAAUAACCGAGUUUAUGGACUUAAUACCAAUUAUAUGCCACUUCAGUAUAGCUCUCAUCGACAAAUGAAAAAAAUAGAAGUUACUUUCAUGUUCAUCUGCAGCUAAUUUUCUGCAUCUUGUUUUUCUCAAUGGGGCCACAGUCUUUGGAGUUGUGGAACAUGGCUGAGAACAAGAGCAUGACAAUUCCAGCUCAUGAGAAUAUAAUUUCGGCACUCGCACAAUCACCUGUCGGAGGAAUUGUUGCGACAGCAAGUCAUGACGGCUCUGUUAAACUAUGGAAAUAGAACAAUAGAAAUAGAAGAAGAAAAAACAGCAUUGCUUCCAGUCCCAUGGAAAUGGCAUGUAUAAAUAUGGUAUGGUGUGUAAUUUAUUCUGGAAUCCUCUUCAUAGUUCCGCUAUGGGUAGC
rnacentral:lncRNA from 1 species